rnacentral:lncRNA from 1 species
AUGGCAACUUUCCUCUUCUUGGUGCAACUCCUCUUCAUUGGGACACUAAUCAUCCCAGCAUACACAGAGACAGAAAAAUGUAAUUUGCUCAUGAAUGCAACUGCAAGCAAUUUCAUUGUAUCUGUGACUCCUAAGACAUACAAGGCAAACACAACCUACCAAGUUACAAUAAGUAAUGACAGAAACCACACUGACAACAGGAAUGUGACUGAAUACUUACUGCAAGCCUUAUCCCCACAAAAUGACUCCAUUGGAGAAUGGAAGGUGGACGACCAGAAAAAUUGCAGUUCUAUUAACACAGCAGUAUUAAAUGCCACUCAGAAUGCAAUAAACUGGACAUCUCCAACCAGCAACAUAACUUCUGCAGAAAUAAGGGUGUAUAUCGUCUUCACUAAUAACUCUGUUGAAUUCAAGACUGUGAUUCUGAAGAAAGUAUCAGAAACAACCACAGCACCACCAACCACCACCCAACAACGCCCAAACACCACCCCCAACUCCGUCACCACGGUUCAGAGCAGCUCCUUCUUCAUAGCUGUCAUUCAGUUGCCGCUGUUCCUUGCCACAAGUAAACUGCUCUCCUAGAAGUCAGGAAGAGAAGAUGACCCAGCUGUCCUGCACCUCUCGUCCUUGCCUGUGGAAUGCGAAGGAGGGCAGGCAGCUUAUCUACUCAGGAAAACUAUUCACUUCUUCUGUGUAUUAGGAUGAUAAUUGCACUUCUGCAUUAAAUUAUAAAGGUCUAUUUGACUACAGAGCUGAUCCUCUCCUUAAUCCCCUUGCCCAGAGCCAGCUAUCUCAGCAAGAUGAAAUGUUUCAAAGCAAGUCAGAGAUCACUUUGUUCUAGCUUUUCAGCUAGGAAAGCAUAACACGGUGAAGAGCAGACCCCAUCUAACAAAGGAACACCACAUGAAUUAAUUCCUCCCUCAUCACCUAGGGUUCUAUGAAGCACAAAAAAGUAUGAAAAUGCUUGAGGGGCAAAAGGCCCUUUUCUCAUCAGAGUACCAGGGUCUGCUGAGAAGCUCAAGGAGAGGUCUGCUUUGGCUGCACAGCCUGGGGACCUGCGCUCACAGCAUGCAUUUGUGUGUGUGCGCGUACAUGCACCAGUGACAGUCUGGCACAGUCCCCCACAGGGUAUUCACCAAAACUGUUGGAAGAAGAAUUGAGACUGGAAGGGGAAAUUAUGGGUUUAGGAUCCACAUGCCUCAACCAGUUUAAAACCUCCAGUGCAAGCAUGGAGGAAACAAGCGUGCCCACCAACCCUCCACCUGGAGAGGCAACCACCUCGCCAGGAGAAGCUGGAGAUCCUGCUGGUAGGGUAUCCUCCAUAAAGGGGGGAUAUUCCUUGAGAAUUUAUGCUCCAUACUCUUAUUUCGUCCAGCAUCCUCUAAAUUUUGUUAUUUCAGUGGAUGGCUUAUAAACUUUCUCUGGCUUUCUGGAAUGGCAGGGUGGGUAUUUUUUAUUCCUAUUUUUUAAUCAACAGCUGAUUUUGCUGUAGGGCAAGAUUGGGCCAUCAAAUGUCUUGAUUUUAUUACUAAUGUUUAUAUUUUUAUAUGGAUAGUAUUUACUUAGAAAUUUUCAAACUUCUGGAAAGUAAUUUUUUCUUAAACUAAUCUAAAUAAAUUAAGGAAUGAAACUUGGCUCUUGCA